GACGAACGCUGGCGGCGUGCUUAACACAUGCAAGUCGAACGAUCAUCCGGAGCUUGCUCCUGUGUUUAGUUGCCAACGGGUGAGUAACACGUGAGUAACCUGCCCCUCACUCUGGGAUAAGCGUUGGAAACGACGUCUAAUACUUGAUAUGAUCACUGUCCGCAUGGUUUGGUCGUGGAAAGAUUUUUUGUUUGGGGAUGGACUCGCGGCCUAUCAGCUUGUUUGUGAGGUAAUGGCUCAUCAAGGCGACGACGGGUAGCCGUCCUGAGAAGGUGACCGUCCACACUGGGACUGAGACAGGGCGCAGAAGCCAACGGGAGGCAGCAGGGGGGAAUAUGGCACAAUGGGGGAAAGCCUGAGGCAGAAACGCCGGGUGAGGGAUGACGGGCUUCGGGUGAUAAACAUAUGUUAGAAGGGAAGAAGAGAAAGUGACGGUACCUGCAGAAAAAGCACCGGCUAACUACGUG
rnacentral:rRNA from 1 species